CUCGCAGGCUAGGCAGCCGCGGGGAUCGUCAGCGGCGAUCCCCGAGGAAAGUCCGGACAUCAGAAGGCGAGGUGGUCGGGGAAUCCGACCCGGGGAAACCCGCGGGAAAGUGCCACAGAAAAGACACCGCCGACGUUCGCGGCCACACGUGAGUCGCGGACGGGUAAGGGUGAAAUGGUGCGGUAAGAGCGCACCGGCGUCGCGGCGACGCGGCGGCCUGGCAAACCCCACCUGAUGCAAGGCCAAGCAGGACCGCCACGAGGUUGCCCGCCCAGGUCCAGGUAGGCCGCUCAGAUGGAUGGCUGCCCACGACAGAAUCCGGCUUAUCGGCCUGCUAAGGGA
rnacentral:RNase_P_RNA from 1 species